rnacentral:rRNA from 1 species
UACGUAGGGGGCAAGCGUUGUCCGGAUUUAUUGGGCGUAAAGAGCGUGUAGGCGGCUGGGUAGGUCCGCUGUGAAAACUCGAGGCUUAACCUCGAGACGUCGGUGGAAACCAUCCAGCUAGAGUCCGGAAGAGGAGAGUGGAAUUCCUGGUGUAGCGGUGAAAUGCGCAGAUAUCAGGAAGAACACCCGUGGCGAAAGCGGCUCUCCGGGACGGUACUGACGCUGAGACGCGAAAGCGUGGGGAGCGAACAGG